CCUACGGGAGGCUGCAGUGGGGAAUAUUGCACAAUGGGGGAAACCCUGAUGCAGCGACGCCGCGUGAGUGAAGAAGUAUUUCGGUAUGUAAAGCUCUAUCAGCAGGGAAGAGAAUGACGGUACCUGAGUAAGAAGCCCCGGCUAACUACGUGCCAGCAGCCGCGGUAAUACGUAGGGGGCAAGCGUUAUCCGGAUUUACUGGGUGUAAAGGGAGCGUAGACGGCGAAGAAAGUCUGAAGUGAAAGCCCGCGGCUCAACCGCGGAACUGCUUUGGAAACUUUUUUGCUGGAGUACCGGAGAGGUAAGCGGAAUUCCCAGUGUAGGGGUGAAAUGCGUAGAUAUUAGGAGGAAACCCAGUGGCGAAGGCGGCUUACUGGACGGUAACUGACGUUGAGGCUCGAAAGCGUGGGGAGCAAACAGGAUUAGAUACCCGAGUAGUC
rnacentral:rRNA from 1 species